UACGGAGGGUGCGAGCGUUGUCCGGAAUCAUUGGGCGUAAAGGGCGCGUAGGUGGCCCGGUCAGCGUGCGGUGAAAGCUCGGGGCUCAACCCCGAGUCGGCCGUGCGAACUGCUGGGCUGGAGCACUGUAGAGGCAGGCGGAAUUCCGGGUGUAGCGGUGGAAUGCGUAGAGAUCCGGAAGAACACCGGUGGCGAGGGCGGCCUGCUGGGCAGUGGCUGACACUGAGGCGCGACAGCGUGGGGAGCAAACAGG
rnacentral:rRNA from 1 species